rnacentral:rRNA from 1 species
CUGAAACCGUGUACGUACAAGCAGUGGGAGCACAGAGCAAUCUGUGUGACUGCGUACCUUUUGUAUAAUGGGUCAGCGACUUAUAUUCUGUAGCAAGGUUAACCGAAUAGGGGAGCCGAAGGGAAACCGAGUCUUAACUGGGCGUUAAGUUGCAGGGUAUAGACCCGAAACCCGGUGAUCUAGCCAUGGGCAGGUUGAAGGUUGGGUAACACUAACUGGAGGACCGAACCGACUAAUGUUGAAAAAUUAGCGGAUGACUUGUGGCUGGGGGUGAAAGGCCAAUCAAACCGGGAGAUAGCUGGUUCUCCCCGAAAGCUAUUUAGGUAGCGCCUCGUGAAUUCAUCUCCGGGGGUAGAGCACUGUUUCGGCAAGGGGGUCAUCCCGACUUACCAACCCGAUGCAAACUGCGAAUACCGGAGAAUGUUAUCACGGGAGACACACGGCGGGUGCUAACGUCCGUCGUGAAGAGGGAAACAACCCAGACCGCCAGCUAAGGUCCCAAAGUCAUGGUUAAGUGGGAAACGAUGUGGGAAGGCCCAGACAGCCAGGAUGUUGGCUUAGAAGCAGCCAUCAUUUAAAGAAAGCGUAAUAGCUCACUGGUCGAGUCGGCCUGCGCGGAAGAUGUAACGGGGCUAAACCAUGCACCGAAGCUGCGGCAGCGACACUGUGUGUUGUUGGGUAGGGGAGCGU